UAGAGUUUGAUUCCUGGCUCAGGACGAACGCUGGCGGCGUGCCUAAUACAUGCAAGUCGAGCGGACCUCUUCGGAGGUCAGCGGCGGACGGGUGAGUAACACGUGGGCAACCUGCCUGUAAGACUGGGAUAACUCCGGGAAACCGGAGCUAAUACCGGAUACUAUGUCAAACCGCAUGGUUUGACAUUCAAAGACGGUUUCGGCUGUCACUUACAGAUGGGCCCGCGGCGCAUUAGCUAGUUGGUGAGGUAAUGGCUCACCAAGGCGACGAUGCGUAGCCGACCUGAGAGGGUGAUCGGCCACACUGGGACUGAGACACGGCCCAGACUCCUACGGGAGGCAGCAGUAGGGAAUCUUCCGCAAUGGACGAAAGUCUGACGGAGCAACGCCGCGUGAGUGAUGAAGGUUUUCGGAUCGUAAAACUCUGUUGUCAGGGAAG
rnacentral:rRNA from 2 species